CGGUGGAAGAGCUCCUGCUUCAGCCCUGAGGCCACGGGGAUGGGCGCUGGGUCAGGGCACGCUGCCGCCACGUCUCCUCCCCCCCACUACGCUUGUCCCCCCCAAGUGUCCCCAGUGCUGCCA